CGGGACGACCAGCCGCGACUCGGCCGCGCUUGGAAAUAGCCGGACGCGAUCGUGGCCAGUGAUUCGCGCGUUGCAGGAGUCGACGGGCAAUGGGAACGCUCUUGGGUCGAAGGACGCAAUUGUCGCCGGUUAACCACCUACAAUGCUCCGGCAUUAAUACCUACCUAAUUGCGCAUUUUAUCGCCCCGAGCGCCUCCUUUCUCGACGUACGAACCGUGCAACUGGAACACUUAAACGCCCACGCUGGAACCGAGCCGUUUUACUGUCAAGACACGAGGAAAUUUUCAAUAAUUUUGUCAACGAGAUUAGCACACCUCUAACCGACAACAACCGAUUUUAUCGCGCGCAGAUGCAGGUAUAGAUACAAUGUAUCGGUAAUACCCGUCUGACAGGAAGCACCAUUUCAUCGCCUACACUAAUGCCCCUGUCGCUACUCUCGUCUUACGUAGUAGAACGAUAUUCGAGAAUCUCUUCGCUACGCGCUCCUCCCGACAGAAAAAUAAUCAAUAGUUUAGCAGUGAUCUAAGCUUAGAUUGACUUCGAAAAAGAGAUCUCUAAUUUGAGAUUUGACAAUCCGGCCACCUUUACCGCAACGACAAUCAUAUUAUUGGCACUUCGAGUUCCAAAGAAAUUAAACCUAAGGGAAACCUAGCGAGAGUCACCUCUCGAGUACUACAAAGGGUUAAUUUUCUCAAACCUAUUGGAAUCGCAUUCACCAACUAGUUCAAUCACCCGAGUGAAACGACGAAGACCCCUCCCCAGAAAAUAUCAAAGCUUCCAAGCUUCCCAGCUUCCCAGCUUCCCAGCUUCCAAGCUUUCAAGCAGGGGUACGUCAUCGAGCCACGUCACCAACGGACCCCUUUUCGCGUCGCAACCCACUAAUUACUCCGUGGAUUUCUAAUCAUUCCCGCCAGGCUGGUCGAUCAAUCGCGCACGGGCUAGGUGGCUGGUUGGUCGCGGGUGGCGUUGGUGUCUAUUCGAGUCGCACGCAAUCGUCUCGAACCAUAAAGUUGCACGGGCUGGCGGAGGGUACGACACGCCGCGGGACAGCGCCAAGAAGUGUACAAUGCUGUGUACCCCGUGUCCGUGGAACACGACAUGCCCAUGCGAUGUCCAACAAAUGACGGGACCGUCGUGUGUGGUCCCACCUGCGUGGGUGUCGCUACUUCCCUCUCGUUCUCCCGGUGUCCCGAUCCUCCUUCCUCCCGUGCGCGAGUCCUCCUCGCCCCGCUUGUCCCGGGCCAGGCCUAUCCUAUCCUAUCCAGGCGUCGUUCCGGUGUGUCUUGACACGAGCAUGGAUCUCACGGGGAUCUUCUCGCCUCCUGACAUCCGUCUUGCUACGAAAAUAGGAGAGACGGAAGGGGCAGUCCGUGUCGUCCUGCGCGUGGGCAGGGAAGAGAUACGACUGCGAGGAUCACGCGCUCGACCUCCUUGAUCUUUCUAUUACAAGGGUGCCUGGUCCCCGGAGAUGACUCGAGAGGGACGGAGACGAUGCUGAACGUUGAUCGAUACUUUCCCGAGGACCAGAGGAAUCGAUUGGGCGGAGCAGUCAGUUCUUCAUUAGAGACUCGAGAAAAUAUAUCAAGUAAUGAAUUCGUGAGGUCUUCUAAUGCUACUACGCUGGAACUGUUUGGAUUUUUAUAUUUUAUCGCACAAUGACAGUGAUGAUCUAGACGG